ensembl:snoRNA
UCAAGCCGGUGAUGAUACAAGUUAUCCCUGUCUGAACACAAAUGUGGAGUCAUGGUAACCUGAGGCUUGA